GAUGAACGCUGGCGGCGUGCUUAACACAUGCAAGUCGAACGAGCUUUAUCACUACGAUCCCUUCGGGGUGACGGUUUUAAAGUAGUGGCGGACGGGUGAGUAACGCGUGGGAAACCUGCCUUACACUGGGGGAUAACAGAUGGAAACGCCUGUUAAUACCGCAUAAGCGCACGGUGCUGCAUGGCACCGUGUGAAAAACUCCGGUGGUGUAAGAUGGUCCCGCGUCUGAUUAGCUAGUUGGUGAGGUAACGGCCCACCAAGGCGACGAUCAGUAGCCGGCCUGAGAGGGCGUACGGCCACAUUGGGACUGAGACACGGCCCAAACUCCUACGGGAGGCAGCAGUGGGGAAUAUUGCACAAUGGAGGAAACUCUGAUGCAGCGACGCCGCGUGAGUGAAGAAGUAUCUCGGUAUGUAAAACUCUAUCAGCAGGGAAGAUAAUGACGGUACCUGACUAAGAAGCACCGGCUAAAUACGUG
rnacentral:rRNA from 1 species